rnacentral:lncRNA from 1 species
AUGCGACUAUUCGAAAGGAGACCGACCUGUUAUCCUGAGAAGAGCAGCGUCCAGCCUACAGCUCUUCCUCUGGUAACUGAGCUCAUAUUAAUUGUCUGAAGAAGACAGUUUCUGAAGAUGUGUGCCAUGAUGGCUGCUGAAGCUUCUACUCCAGAUCUGAAGAGCAAGCAGUGCUCAGGAGGCCCCCCAACACUUCCAUCUCUGCUCGAGUACCUUCUUGGAGCUCCAGAAAAAAGUAACACUGGAUCUUCAGAGAGGGACACCAAAACAAGAGUGAGAAGCUCUUCCUAG